UCCCAACAGCUCCAGAAGACAGUAGAAACACUUAAGCAGAGAGGAUCCCCUGCCUCCCUCCUGCAGAUUACUGGUCUGUAGCCUAGCUGCCCUGAGUGAGUGAUGCAAGGAAAAGUCAACAUAGGGUGUGUUUUCACAAAACUGCAGGAUGAUCUUUUCCUUACGUUCCUUACCUGAAAACCCAAGGCAGUGAUGGAAGAGAGCCUCACUCAGAUGCAGAUGAUGUGAAAUGUUGGUACCUGGCAGUGCUGUUUGGGGCAUGUACUGAUUUUAACACCAGCAGGAAAUUAAACUCCAAACCAGCCACACCCCAGCCCCUGCCCCUUCCAGUAAAGGAGAGACAAAAGAGGAGGGAUAUGGGAAGAGAUAACAACUUAGUGAAACACGAGAUGGUGGAAUAAGACGCCCGCAGUACAAUACAAAAAGAGAAGGUGUUUUACCCACCGAAAGGUAUUCACCACCAGGAGCAAGAACAAAGGCGGUGGUGAACAUGUGGUUGUGUCCAUGUGGUUUUUCCAGACAAAGGCAAUAGGAUGAUCAUUCCUGCAUGCUGCCCACAUGGCAGUCAGGAAACAAAGGUAGUGUGGUGGGGUUGCUCCCAGGGCCAACAUUUCCCAGCCAAAAAUAAUGGAAAACAGUGAUAGACAACCCUUCCUGGAAGCUGAGUCAUCUGAGUAGGGGUUGCUCUGCCAGGCUCAGUUCUGUGCAUUUGCUGCUGCUUCCAACAAUCCUGUGCACCAGGGCAGGGGAGGAUGUCCCAUUGGGAUGCUGGCUUCGUGCUGUCCCUGAUCACUGUCCCUGCAGUGCCACGCCACAGCCUCGCCUCAGCACCGUGUCCCAGAAAAAUAUCCCAGGAUGGAGUCCGUGGGUCCUUUGCUGUCACCCUCCUGCUGAAGCAGGAGAGGCAAAAGUGGCCAACUUCCAGUCAGAGUGCCUGCCUUUUCCUGCUGGGUCCAGGUGAUGCAGUGUGUGAUGCAGAAUAACAACUUGGCCAAGCCCACACUGCUAACUCUACCCCCUCUCUAAGAGGACAGACCAUAAUGCUCAUUAAACAAAGGGAAUUGUGUGGUUGUUGAAGUUCACCAUUUUGCUUUCAAAGCGAAAAGUUUUUUGUGCCAAAGCCGGUGUUCACUGCUCUAGCCAUCGAUAUGAGCUUUGCAAAAAAUGUUUGUCACUUUUUCCAAAGAUAAAUGACCAAAGCGUAAUGCAUUUAAAAAUUAAUCAAUGUUGCUAGUUGAAAGCAAAUGUGAAAAUAAAGCAAGUGCCAGCAAGCAAUGGACAAUGUGACUGGAAUUUAAAUAGCAUAAAGUUGAGUUACUGUACAACAAAUUAUAAUGCAAAAUAUAAUUUUUGUGGCUUUUACUACUGUUAACAGUAAACUCAAAGCCCAAAAUGUCUGGUUGUUUUUCUAGCUCAGAGAAAUGUGCUAAGAAAUCUUUGCAAGAGGCUUAAUUUAUUUUUUGAAAGGGCUGUAGUGAGAAUUUAUGAAUCUUCUCUUAUACUUUGAAAUCUGUGUGAGUGCUGAAGGGAUGACAGGGUAGAGGAUUUGGGAAUGAUGUUCCUACUCUGGUA